CAGGUGAUGAUCUACAAAGAACAAAGGUGGUGUUUUUGCCAGACUGAAAAGUGAACAUGAUAGAUUGGGAGUGCCAGAACUAAGGGAUUCCCUUCUGGGUAGCCCAGAUGUCAUUGAUACUGCUCCAAGAAGAAAGCAAAGACAAAGGACAGCUAAGCCUGAUAGGACAGGAUCUAAGAUGGCUUCUCAUGAGACAGAACUGCCAGCCAAGGAAAAACCAGUUCUGGCCUCACAGAAGACAUUGGAGAAGCAUUCCCUGGAUACUAUGUCUCUCGAAACGCUGGGAAACAGUUGUGAGCCGGAGGAUCUAUUUGAUGACAUAUAGCUAUGUGCUAGAUGAGAAACCAACAGACUGCUGCUUCUGAUAGAGAUAAGCUGUAAAACUAAAAGGCUUUGUUAUAGCCACUGAGCCAAAAUCUUUACUCUGAGGUGGUACUCAAUGACAUAUUGCUCUAAUUCUCUUGUGCUGCACUUGUCCCCAUUCUUUGCUAUGCUAUCAUAGACCCUUGGCCUGCUAAACUUGAUUUGUGAUGGUCUGGAAAUAUGUUUAGCCUCUGUGUAGAUCUCUUAUCAUGUGUAUGCAGGGAAGGGGAGCUCCAUUUUUACUUCCUAACAGUCUCUGGCUGCUGAUUGUAUCUAGGAUCAAAUGGUUUCUAGGUGUCCCCAGAGAAUGUCAGAUGUAAACAAGAUGAAGGCUAUCACUGUCCUUAUCUUAUACACUGCCCCUUUCUUGAGAAUCUCAGCAUAGAUGUGGUCUAGCUAAAUCAUCUUCAACUUUGACUGAUAUAGCUUCCUAAACUGUGAGUUAGAAUACCUUCUGACUUGAAGCAUCCAAAGAAAUGUCCUUUCACUUUUUACUUGGAUGUUCUCUGCUGCGUUAUGCGUUGUAAGAUAUUCUUGCCUUUCACAGUAAAGUGCAUAUGAAGUCAAUAUUGACUAUAUUGACUAUAUUCUAUAUUCUAUAGAAACCCAGAAAUAGAAAGCCUUUAAAAUUGUAAUUUUUGGUCCUUCAUUAUUUUUCUUGAAGUGAUUUCUAAAAAAAAUAAAAUGCAUUCUAAAAA